AAGGCGGAUGAACAAGGAGGAGACCACCGUCGGAGGGGAGCUAGGAGGGGUCUGAAGCGGUCGUCUCUUUCGAGUGCAAAGACGAGUCUGCGGUGGAUGCUGGGUUGCAGCUCAGGUCGAUGGUGCGGCCAUGGAAACAACCUCCUCAACCUCGACAACCAAUGCGUCGGCAGGGGAGCAACUAAUUCCUGAACCUUUGCUUCUCCUCUUUUAAUUCGAAGUUCUUAGUUUAGUUCCAGAUUUCUAUGCAUGUAAACCUUGUUAUGAUUAGUUAGGUUAGUUUAGUGCUGGGGCUCAUCCUUUAGUCCUUUACCCAAUGUCUGAUUUGUUGGCUGUUUUGGUUUGGUUGCCGUCGGAUGUUAAUGGAGUUACGGUGGAUUUGCUCGACUUGUGGUAUGCAUGGUUAACAAACAACUAAUCCUGCUCUUUUGAUGUGUUUCUUUGGGUUCUCAUCUAUAUGUAUCUCUUCUGAUGUGUGUGCCUCUUACAUAGAUGCGCGAGCAUAGGGAAAAAGUGUAAAAGUAGACUCAUCACACUCACGCUCUCGCUGCGCCAUGGCUCCUUCGUCUUCAAGGAUUGUGUCAGUGGCUUCGUGUCCUUGUGCUGCCGCCGUCCUAUAGACUGGUUAGGGGGUUGCUUUCCUCUUUGAUGUGUGUCUGACUAUGUGAUAAUAUUCAGUUUUCUUGUGGCCGCACUAUGUGAUAAUAUUCAGUUUUCUUGUGGCAGCAUUUCGGAAAUAUGUUUUGUUCUAAUUGUUGUACCAAAAUAGAGUUAGCAUAUUUUAGUUUGAUAUGUAUGGUUUCUUAGGUCUUUUGGGGUGAUUGGUGUUCUGUUCUUACCUUUACGGUUGGGUUUUGGGUGUUCUGUUGUUACUUGAAGAUUCAGAAUGAUGUUGGAAUUAUGCAGGAGAGGUUGAAUCAAGGCAACCAUCUAUAUAUCAGUAAGGCCUGAAUCAACCAGAAUUUGGCCAUUCAAUGAUUUGCGUUCUUAGCCCCAAAGGAUCAUAAUUCCAAAAAGUGACCAAGAAGAGCAUAAGAGGGACAAGCUAAGCAAAGGAGUUAAUCCUGAGUGCAAUGUUCACUGUUUGUCAAACCAGAUUAAGUUUGUGAUGUUGCCAAAUUUACUAUGCACUCUCGAGAUUCUCUUCACAUUUGUUGAUUCACCAAAAAAAUCCGUAGAAAGGUAGGAAAGAUUUACUAGGUGGUUAAAUUUAUAGAGUUAAUUCAUUCGAUUCAACAACAUUAAGACAUCGUAGUUGAUUGCAAAAUACAAGUCACUCUCAAUUUUAUAUUCUUUCAGAUUGUUCAGGCUACAUGUCUUAAGUUAUUUCAAGAAAAAGUUCCCCAAAAUUUGGGAGUUGCGCCAAAAGUUUCAUAUAUGUCCUUUGAUUUCUGAGGUAGUGCCAGAUGGUAAACUGUUGGUGAUGUCCUGUUGUAGACUGAAUCUCCUUUUGGCAAUUUGUCCUGUUAAGAAAAGCAAUUGAAAACUGAAAAUGUCAUUCCUACCUACACCAUUUGCAUCUCUUUUUGGGGAGGUGUCAUGGAAGACAGUAACCUACUUCUAAUUUGCUCAAUUCUUUUCAACAUUCACUUUUUUAUUUUUGUAUUGUGUGCAAGUGUAUCCCUAUGCACUCUUUAUUUCUGGGAUUUCUAAAGGGAAUUUCAGCAACAAUCAAGAACGAGGGUCUGGCUGUGCAGAAACAUCAGGAGGAGAACAGCAACGGCCACCGGGUGUCUGGAAAGAUAAUAAAGGGCAGUAAGGUUUCCAGAAGAAUUGUACCCCAUCGGACCCGGAGCAAGCGCCGAGCUGCUACAGGGUAGCAAUGAGACUUGAAGGCAUCUAUCGUCCCAGCUUUCAGAAUGGAGAAACUAGUGAGUUUCAUAUAUGAUCUGAAUGAAAUGUUUAGUACUUGCGGCAGUGGACUUUGCUACUGAUCAUUCGGUGGUGGUGACCCAUAUGAUGGCGAUUCGCUCCGGCCAUUCCAGUUUUGGCGGUGGUGGUGCUGCUGCUCCUAUGAUGGUAGACUCGUCUGAUUCCCCUAGCCGCAUCCAUGGUGAUGAAGCUCGGCCUAGGCUAGAACCCCCUCCGAUUUGCUUAAGAUCACGGAAGCUUGGGUUGAUGAAGUGCUUGUAUU